rnacentral:lncRNA from 1 species
UAACCGGAUUGUUGAUGAGAAUGGCGUUUGAAUAUAAGGCUUUUCCAAGUACCUCCAGAUCGAUGCCAUUUACGUUUAUGAAUGGCUUUACCCCAUUGAGGGUUGGGUUGCAAGUCACUCUAAACCAAGGUUCCGUAUAGCAGGUGCUAUGGAUUCCAAAAGGGGAUGGAAUUGUAAUAUUUCCACAUGCUUCUUUACCACAGGCAGGUUCUUGAGAUUCUGCUGCUUGUAAUAUUGGGCACAACAUGAAGAGGAGUAGGAGGAUGAGGUAAAGCGGUAAGUGAAAACCCAUUUGCGUUGUUAUUUUGUUUGAGGGAAAUGAAUGAAGAUUUAGAUAGGGUUACUGUAGAAGUCGGGUUUUAAAGAAACAAAAGCAGGGUUAAGUAGCACCACGAGAUUGUAAAUUAUAUUUGUUAAAGUAGCACCACUACUCUUUUUCUUUUUAAAAUUACCAUCACUACUACAUGUCAAAAUAAAUUAUAAUUUUUUACAUCUAAAUUUAGUAAUAUGAUAAAAAAAUAUCUUUAUUUAUUUAAAAAAAAUUUAAAUUCGUGCUUUUAUAUAUACUACUUGUUUCAAAUUUAUAUAGGGUUCACUUCUAUAAAUAUAUUCAUUUCUACCCCACCACGUCAAUCCAACGAGCCUCUUAUCCAUUCUUAUUCGAUCAUGAAAGAGGUAAGACAAAAUAAAAAUACUCACAUUAAAUUUAGAGAAAAUCAAAUUCGAUUUAAUAACUUCCAUAUCUAAUAUUUUACGGCUAAAUUAUAUUCCUUUCCUGCCCCAAUCAAGAAAUAGGACCAACUAUUGGACAAAUGUGUUACGAAGCAAAAUUUUCUUCCGUCAAUGUGCUGUCUCAUUUUGUAUCCCUACAAUCAUUUCUUGGCAAGUGUAUUAAAAUUACUUUUAAAAUAAAAUUUGAAAGUAAAGGUUCAAAAAAUAUAUAAAAUUUAAUAAUUUCCAACACUUGUAUCAAAUUGUAGAUAUAUUAUAUAAAUUACACUUUAUAAAUGAAUAAACAAAUAAAACUCCGAACAUCACAGAUUUAAUAAUAUACUGCACAUUUCCUAAAAAAAUAAUGUACUCCACAUGUUACAAUGCAUUUAAAUGUGAUAUUUCAAAAUCUGAUACUUCUUUACCACAGGUAGGUUCUUGAGAUUCUGCUGCUUGUAAUAUUGGGCACAAGAGGAAGAGGAGUAGGAGGAUGAAGUAAAGAAAACCCAUUUGCGUUGUUAUUUGGUUUGAGGGAAAUGAAUGAAGAUUUAAAGAAAGAAAGGAUGUUUGAGUGAGAAGCAAAUGAAAAGUAUUUGGUCACACUUUCCUUGAAGUUCCAGUAUAUGUGCAUUUGAUUUGAGAAUAAUUCAUUAAUUUGUAAAGAUUGUUGGAUACAAUUUUCCAGCUGCACGUAAGAGGUCUCCAGUGAAAGAGUAGGUUACGUAUAAAGAGUUAAGAGACAAAUAAAAGGGAGAGUCGAGCCUUAUAUUCCUUCAAAUAUUUUUACAAUAGCAUUAAGAAAUAAGGAUAAUUUAUGUUCCUCCCUCCAAAACUUUUAAAUAUUUCAAAUCAUAUUGUAAAAUAGAAAGCUUGAUAUUAUAGAUUAAAUAAAAUUAUUUUUAAAAUUUUAUUAGUUAAUAUUAAUUUAAUUAUAUUAACAAGUGGAUGAAAGAAGUGAUUAAAAAAAAACUUAAUUUAAAAUGAAUAAUCAAUUUCAAUUAAGUUUAUACAAUCCUAGUUGUCUAUAAAGCUAGAUAACAAAGAGUGAGCAUUAUCCUUAAUGAGUGAUAGCAAAGGUGAUUGUUCUUUACAACAACUUGAAAAAAAAUUCCGAGGAAUGUCACUUUUGACGCUGUUCCUAUGAUUAGAGGUUUCGCAUUUUUAUUUAUAGCCAUUCAACAUAGUUAGUAUCAUAAGUCUAAGAAUUAUUUAUGUUACCGAUAUAUGUGGGUAUUUUUGACAUUUAAGUGAAAAUCUCAAUAAACUCUCAAGUGAAGUUAUAUUUUAUAAUUUUUUCUAUUUUUUAAUAAUCAUUAGUAUUUUAUUUUUUUAUAUUUUUUUUAUAAAUUUAGGUAACUUUUACAUUUUUAAAAAAUAUUUUUAAUAAUUUGACAUGUCACACCAACAUGUUUUCACAUGGUAUUUCAUAUGCCAACUUCUCAUGACUUCGGUAAAUCAUGUAAACAACAUAUAAUAUUCAAAUUAAUCAAGAAUUUUUAUUUUUUACUGAGUUCUUUUUACCAUUUAAUUGUAUAUUAAUAUUUAUUACAUUAUUAAGAAUUGGUUUUUAUGUAAUUUUUCUGACAAAAUUCAAUAAUACAUUAUAUAAGCAUAGAUAUAACUUCAUUAAAAUCUGCGAAGAGUGAAAACGUUAUUAAUUUGUCUUGUAGCGACCUAAAAAUUUUUGGCGUUGGGCGCUAGUCGAAGUAGUUAUUGAAAACUUGAAAACCGAAUCUCGAUUUUAUUUGAAAAAGGGGAGUCGCCACCGAUCUUUUUUCUAGGUGUGAUCGGACACCUAAUAAAUUCUCUUUUUUUUUAAGAAAAAUUUAUUUUUUAAAUUUUUCUUAAAAAGAGGUAAUUUUUUGUCUACGUGAAAAUCCAGAGAAAAUUAGAGUUCGGGAGUCGGUUACGUGCGAGGAAGGUAUUAGCACCCUCGCGACGCCCAAAAUUGGUAUCUCGUUAAAUGCACGUUGUCUUCACUUUCAAAAAUGCGAGUUCAAUUUAAUAUUUAAUCGUGAUCCGAUUAAAACACGAGAAAUUUUUUUUUAAAACACGAGAAUUUUGGAAACACAAAUUUUUAAAAAAACGAAAAUUUAUGAAACACGAGAUUUUUUUUUUGAAAAAACGAAAAUUUUCAAAACACCAAAAUUUUUGAAAACACAAGGAUUUUUGAAAUACGAAAAAUUUGAAAACAAGAAAAUUUUUGAAAUACGAAAAUUUUAGAAACACGAAAAUUUAUAAAAUACGAAAAUUUUUGAAACACAGAAGUUUUUAGAAAACACGAAAAAUUUUUGGGGGGGACCGAAAUUAAAUUGUAAUUUUUACAAUAGUAAAAAUAUAAUUUUUAAAAAAUUAAAUCAAAAUUUUAUCAAUUUUAGGGGGACAAAGUGUAAUUUUACCUUUACUAAUUUAAAAUAUUAAAGGGCCAAAAUGAAAAAUUUUCUAUUUUAAGAGGGCCCGGGGUCCCUAGUAGCUCCCUAGAUUCACCCCUGAAAGAAUUUUACUCAAAUAUUACUUUUAGCUCAAACAAAAUUUAACUCAAACUAUACAAUAGAUGAAAAUAUUUGUGAUUAAAGUCAACUUUUAUUAAUUUUGUACUUUGUGUUAUAAUCAAUCAAGAGGUAUAUAGGUAGAUUUAUUUAGUUCUUAAGUUGUCGAUAAAGCUAGAAGGGAGGAAUUAGCAAAAGAGUGUUAGCCCCUUGCGCAAAAUAAUGGGCAUUAUCCUUAGCGAGUGAUAGCAAAGGUGAUUGUUCUUUACAACUUGAGAAGAAAUUUCCAAGAAUGUCACUCUUGACCCUUUCUGAUGAAAGGGUUAUAAUCGUAUUAUUCGGUUGUUAAAGUAUUUGAGAGGUCUUUAUGCUAUAUAGAUCGGAUCAAAUUAGACAUUCUAUUAUUAAAUGGAUCAAUUUAGUACUUAUAUUAUUAAAAAUAAUCAAAUAAGUUUAAAUUAUAAAAGAGUUAACUUUUACUGUAUAAAAAAUGUCUUGAAUUUUUAUUCAAAAUCUAUUCUAUUUUAAACAAAAUAUUUCAUUUACAAAACCAUAAAAACUUCAAAAAUAAUUAACUCUAUUAAAAAAUAUAUGUUAAUUAUAUUUUAAUUUAGUCUUCUUUAAUUCUUUUUAAUAGUAUAAGGAUUAGAUUAAUUCAUUUAAUAGUAGAGGGACUAAUUUGGUCAAAUUCCUAUAAUAGAGAGACUCUUAGAUGCUUCAUCCAUAUAAUGCAAUAGAUAUUAAGUAAUCAAUGCAGUGUAUACAUUUCUGGCACUAUAUAUGUUUAAGAAUUUUUUACCAAUAAAAAUAUGCAUAAUUAUAUGCAAAUGUACAUAUUUUUUUAGAGAUUCACUUUAAUUGGUGUAAAAUUAAAUACAUCAGUAUAAAAUUAAAGUUGUUUUACUCCCUUUCAUAUCUCUUUGUACAGUUAAUAUUUUGACAAUCCAACCGUUUGAAUUUAAUAUUUUAUUCAUAUAAAUCAUUCAUGUCAAAUUUGAUAUAAAUUAAAAUUUUCUAACUUUUUGUUUAAUGUAAAAAAUAUUCAACCGUUGAAUAUAUAUUAAUAUAUUGAGUAUUGUAGAUCAAUAUGAUAGAAAUAUCAAAUUGGUUUAAAAAUUUACAUGCAUGACAAGUACAAAUAUAACCAUCACUACACCAAAACAGGCUUUUAGUGGCAUCUUUUGUGGCGUUUGGACGACAAACGCCGCUAAAGAUCUAGCAUUAGCGGCGCUCAGAAUAAAAUGCCGCUAAAGAUCUAGCAUUAGCGGCGCAUUAUAUAAAGCGCCACAAAAUAUCUUACCAAAACGCAGCGUACGAUCUUAAGGUAUAUUAGAAUUAGUGGCGCUUACGCAAAAACGCCGCUAAAGCUUAGUAUUAGCAGCGCAUCGUCAAAGUGUUGGAUCGUCGGCACCUCUAUGGCGCAGCGAAAAAUAAUGAUCCGGCGAUCCUAACCAGGGAUCCAUGUGUGAGGAACGAAUCGGAGUGAAAGAGGUUGCGAAAUUACCUAAUGUUUAUUCAGAGUAGACAGCAACACCUAACAACGAGUAGUCUGAUCUGCUGUCGAACCAAACCGCAAUCUAUCGUGAUCCCGGCCUCUACGUAAUCCACCUAGUUGACUACGAAUGGAAGGAAUCCCCAAAACAAUUUUGAGAGUUAUUUUUCUUUGACGGCUGCUAGACUCAAACAAAGAAAAACGGGAUUAUAUAUAUAUCCUUUUGUUUUAGGGUUUUUAAGAAUUAAAUAAAUAUAAUAAUAUUUUAAACCGAAAAUCAUAAUUACAUUAAUUAUAAUAUAAGUUCGGUAAACCAUAUAUUUAUUUGAAUUCUUAUGCUAACCAAAUUCAUGUCCUCACUAUACGUACAACAACCUUGUACAUAAUGUGCUGGAAAUUUGAUUACCGAAUUAAAUUAAUUCUAUAAUUAAUUUAAUUCAAGUGACCCCAAAAACAAUACCAACUAUGGUUUAUUCCGUUCAUUUCAACUAUAGGGUGUGACCCUGUAGGUUCUUGUAACGUUAGCAGUAACACUAGAACGAUUCUAAUGCGACGAACAAUGAGUGGCAUCUAGCAAUGCAUCAUUGCUACCUAAGUCACAAGAGAUCAUGAUUCGACAUAACCUUUUUAUGAUUAACCUUUUAUGCAAUAAUCCUUAAGUCCUUUAUCUCUGGAUUGGACACAAGUCAUGGAAUAGUCACCCUUGCAUUGUCCAUUCCAUGUUCCUUGAUAUCUUAAGCAGACUACGAUAUACAAAUAAGUAUGACAUCUAAUAUCAACUUAUUUGAGCACGGCCAUGCAUUUCUAGUCUCACUUAAUCAAGUGGCCUAAGAUAUUACUCCCAUUAUGUAGGAGGGACUUAUCCUAUAUCGACCAACCAUAUCCCUCUACAUAGAUUGUGGUAUAUCCAACAUCAGUCUUUAUAGAACAACCAGUUACGGUGCACGUUUGACUGUAUCAAAAUAUACAACUUACGAUGUUGGGAUUAUGAUGAUCUCAAGUCUGAGGAUCAUAUAAAUAUUAAUCAUUAUGAGUAAUGUCGUGACAAUUACAUAAUAAUCCAAGAAACAUACUCAUAACGGGUCAGUCCAAUAUGUUGUUCUCUAACACACAUAUUCAUGUAAUGAUUCUAACAUUCCGUAUCAAUGACAACUCUUUAUCAUCAAUCAACUACACGUUAGUCUUAAUGCAUUAUCGUUGUCCUAUCCAACAAUAAUACUUGACUAAGGAACUUUUAAGAAUAAUCAUACUAUUCUCAGGACAUUAUUAUAAAACAGUUUAUUUAUAUACACAGAAAAGAAACUGAAAUAAUAAUGGUAACACCUUAUAUUAAUAAACAUGAUAAAUCAAGUAUGUUAUUACAACCAUCUCAUGAUUGAUCUUUGGGCAUACUCUAACAAAAAGCACCGCAAAAAAGAUGAAGCCAACGACGCCGUUUUCUGAGUUUCUGGGAGUGUAGCGGCGUUUUCUGAAAAUCGUUGCUAAUGCUCUUGACUUUAGCAGCAUUUUUUGAAAAGCGUCGCAAAAAAGCUAAGGCCAACGACGCCGUUUUCUGAGUUUCUGCGCGUGUAGCGGCAUUUUUUGAAAAUCGUCGCUAAUGCUCUUUGCCUUUAGCUACGUUUUCUGAAAAGCGCCGCAAAAAACCUAAAGCCAACGACGCCGUUUUCUUUGUUUUUGGGCCUUUAGCAGCGUUUUUAUAAAAGCGCCGCUAAUGCUCCGGCCUUUAGCGGCGUUUUUGAGGAAGUGCCGCUAAUUGUAAUAAAAAACCAUUCCAAUUAUCUCUUUCUUUGAUAUAUUUUUUUGUUAUAAGAUAUAGAAUAUUUCGUUGUAUUUAUUAUAUAUUGGUCAAAUUUACAUUUAAAUGAAAACAAAUAAUAUUAAUAUGAUAAUAUGCAUGGGACAUGGCUAUAUAUAUAGCUUCCUAAAAUGAUGUGGAGGGGGCACCAAACUCUAAUAAAUUUGUAGUCCAUGCCCCAGUAGAAUAGGUUGAAACAUCUUUUUCUCUGGAUAGUGAUAUGCAAGUGAGAUGCUUAGGGGUUAGGGGUUUAGGGGUUAGACGUUAGGGUUUAAGACUUAAGGUUUAAGGGUUUAGGGGUCGGGUUAGGGUUUAGGGUCUAGAUUAAUUUUUUUAAUUUAUAUUUUAAAUAUAUUCUUAUGUAAUUGUAAAAGAGAUAAUAAUAAAUUUAAUAAACUGAAAUUAUGAGUAUAGUUGAAAUUAUGGCUUAAGAGAUAUAUAAUAUAUGUUAUAUUUAAUUAUUGACAUUCAUACCAUUUGAUAUUAUAAGAAUCUAAAAUAUUUGUUUUGUACUACAGUAAUAUUACGAUUUGGGAUUUUUGGUUUUUGAAUUUGGGGUUUAGUUUUUAAACUUAAGGGUUUGGGGUUUGGGAUUAGGGAUUAGGGUUUUGAGUUUGGGGUUUAGUGUUCGGGGUUAGGGGUUUAGGGGUUUGGGGUUUAAGGAUAAUUUAUGGUAUAAUAUUUGAUAUUGGGGUUUGGUUUAUGGUUGUUUGUAGUUUCUGGGUUACGGGUACAGUGUUACGGCUAACGGGUAACGGGUUAUGAGUUUUAGGGUUUAAAUGUGGAUAUUUUAUAAUAUAAUUCGAAUUAAAUUAAAUUUAAAUUAUCAAUUUAAUAAAUAUAUAUAUAUGAAAAAGGAUUAAAUCCGAGAAGCGUACAUUAAGGAUGGUUUCAUGUUAAAUUGAAUUCAUGAACUUUAAUGUUAAAUUGUAUUCAUGAAAACGACGUUGUUUCUAGUGGAUUUGCAUUAGAAUUAGCGGCGCUAAACAGAAAACGCAGCAAUAGAUGAAAUAAUACCGGCGUUUUUAUGAAAACGCCACAAAAUACUGAAGGAAACGGUGCCGUUUGCUUAUUACAUUUAGUGGCGUUUUACAUAAAAUGCCGCAAGUAUGUUUUCUUUGUUAAGGAAACUGCAUCGUUUUCCAUUGUUAUUAGUGGCGCUACACCCAAGACGCCGCGAAUAUAUUUUAAAAUUUACAGGAGUUUGAGUUAAACGACUGCGUUUGACCUUAUAUUUAGUGGCGCUUGAGUAUAAACGCCGCAAAAAUCCAAAUGGUGUUACGAGAAACGGCGCCGUUUACAUAGUUGCUUUUAGUGGCGCUUCUAAUAAACGCUGCAAAUAUGCAUUAUAACUUAAGGAAACUUCGUCAUUUUCCAUUGUUAUUAGUGGUGCUACACCCAAGAUGCCACAAAUAUAUUUUAAAAUUUACAGGAGUUUGAGUUAAACGACUGCUUUUGACCUUAUAUUUAGUGGCACUUGUGUAUAAACGCCGCAAAUAUCCAAAUGGUAUUACAAGAAACGGCGCCGUUUACAUAGUUGCUUUUAGUGGCGCUUCUCAUAAACGCCGCAAAGAUGCAUUAUAACUUAAGGAAACUGCGUAGUUUUCCAUUGUUAUUAGUGGCGCUUGCUUAAAAUGCCGCAACUUGGUUUUAAUUUUAGUACAAACGAUGUCGUUUUGUAUAUAUUAUUCGUGGCGUUUUUUCUAAAACGCCAAGAGGUUUUGGUUACUUGAUGGGGAAACGACUGCGUUUGGCGAUAUGUUAGUGGCGUUUUUAUAUAAACGCCGCAAAUGGGUUAAAUAUUUUGACGAAAACGGCGUCGUUUUUUUUCCAUCCUUUUGACCGAAACAAAACCAAACCCCGAUUCCCCCCCCCAAACUCUCAUCUCCCCCAAAUCACUAAAAUUUCCCCUAAUCCCUAACAGUUCCCCAAACCCAACGUAGUCCUGUACGGCGCCAUUUGCUUUACUGCAUCACAGCCUCCGUGCGUCUCCGGUACCGCAACCAUCGGUAAGUUCGGCAACUUCCUUUUUCUUCUUCAUGCGUGAAUGUUAUCUGGAAUACCGAUUUUGAACAAAAAAAUCCAUUUCGGUUGUUUCGAUAAUGUCGUGAAUUUGGGGCUUCCGAACAUUUGGUUUUUUUUUUUCAUUUUCAGAAAACGUUAUAGGUUGAGAACUUUAAAUAAAAAAUCAGUUUUAUAUAUCGACAUUUAACCAAAAAAAAAACAAUUCAAGUUACAUUUUAAUCAAAAUUAGAAAUUUCGAAAUCUUUAAAAUAAUGAACCUGAACCACAACACUGUUUUAAAUUGAUAAAUAUUUUGAGAUACCCAAAUGUUUUUGAGACUUUAAUCGAAAAGGUAAAAAAGCAAUGAUGAGUUUGAUAUGAAUUAAAGAAAAAGCAUAUAAUAUAUUUGAAGUCAAAGUUUUCAAUUCCCUGUUCAAACUUAUAAUGUUUGAUUAAUGUAGAAGACAUUAUUAUAAGUCAUGCUUGACUCAUGUAUUUCUUUGUAAUUUUAUUUAUUUAUUAUUUGACAGGGUGAACCACACCUCAUGUUCAUCUUGUUUUCCUUUGUUCAUUUUCAUUUUUAAAAAUCUUCAAAAUGGAAUUAAACCCAAAAGCUGGGGCAUGAUCUGUAAAUGUAUUAGAUAUUCAGAAUCUGAAAAUCAUUUUUAAUUUCAACCAGAAUAUUGUACACAAAAUACAUGCAGAACAUUGGCACAUGUUAUCUGCAUAUGUUACCUUAUUUGAAGGAAUAAACUAAACCCAAUUUGCAAUUCAAGAGGCCAAAAAGCUAAUCUCUAACGUGAAUUCAAUCUCUAAUUAAUUUCUCAAAAUCUGCUUUAUUUAUCUGUCGUCUGCAGUUAAUCUAAUUUAACAUUCUUAUAUGUCGAUGUGGUAUAUAUCUAGAAUAGUCAACAUUGGUUAGCAUUCAGCAAAAGGAUGCCCCGAGGGACUUGACGAAGGGAAUUUUAACUUUGAAUGUGAAUUAGUCAACCAUAUAAAAUAUAUUUUGUUUUCCUAUCGGUCAGGCUCUUGAGUUUUUUCAGUCAUCUUUAGCUAAGAUAUUGUGGAAAACAAGGGAAAUUAAAUAACUUUUAAGUAUGCAGGAAAAGUUUACCACAAUCCUCCUAUUUGUGACCGUCACUACUCACUACAUGAGUUUUAAAAUAACAUUAAUUCCAUGAUUUCUUUGACCAUUUUACCAUAUAUUUUCCGCUACCUCUAUUUCCUUUGUCCUACCGUUCAACAUGUUCUGUUUCUACUCCUUAACAAUGAGUCUCUUUCUCUUUACUCAUCCUCUUCUUUUGGUGCUUCAACUAUUCCUCCCUAUCUUCAUCUUAGGACUCUUUGCCCUUAUUGGAUGAACAUUUGCUGCCUGUGUUUUGGCCGAACAAUUGUUUGGGCAGGUACAUGUUAAAAUUUGACAGUUUUUCCCUUAUUUAUAUGCAUUUUCCCAAAUUACUUAACAAAAUAAAUGUUUCUGACUGCAGUCUCUCUUUGCUGGUGAGAGUGAAGUAGACAAAGUUGAGUGAAAUAUUAAGGUAUGUUUUAGUUCAUAACUUAAAUCAAUAAUAGUUUUAUCAUGAUGAUUUUUGAAAAAUGUUUCUUUUGGGGCUCUGGUUUUGUAUAUAUGUAAUUGGUUUUGGUUGUUUUCCUUUAGCUUAUGUUUCAUUUUACUUAUUUUACAAUUGCCAUGUACUUUUCUGACUUAUGUUUUCUGUUAUCAUCCAUCAACGAUUGCUAUAUAUGUUGAGCAAAAUAGAAGCAAUUUAAUAAAUUGUACUGGGAAUUGGAUUAAAUUUUUUUAUUUUAAAAUUAUUCGAAAUUUCUUAACUAUAUGUUACAUUAAAUAACAAAUUAAUCCACUUUCUUUUCACAUUUAAGUUUCAUUGAUAUCAAAUAUGCUUAAUUGUUGUAUACAUAUUAUUCCAUAUCGCAAGUAAAUUAUUUUGAAAAUAAAGGUUAUUUAUGUCUAAAUAAUAUAAACAUUUGGUUAAAAGCCUGUAUAGUUUGCAAAUAUUUAUAUGUUUUCCUCCAAAAUUUUUUUUCCUUUAGUUGCUAUUUUAAUCACGGAAAUUUAGUUUGUUUUGUUUUCUUUUAUUUAAUUUGAAUCAUGGAAAAAAAUUUCAAACUUUUAAUUUAUUUUUAGGUUUAAUUUUAGAUGACUUACAGAAAUUUAGUUAAAACUUACAUAACAUACAUAAUUUAAUUCAAAGUUAUUUUUUAUUUGUUUUAAAGUUAAAAUUCACAUAACAUACAUAAAUUAAAGUUAAAAUUUCUAAACUUUUGUAAAUGGUAUAACUUACUUAAUACAAAACUUAUAUAAUAUUAAGAUCAAAUUUCAAAACUUGCAAAAUCUUACGAUCAGAUUUCAUAAUUUAUGUAUUUUAUGUAACUUACAUAAUAUAUAACUUACAUAGCUUAAGUAACAGUAAUUUCAGAUCUACUUUCACAACUUACAUAGAUUUUAGCAGGACACUUCAUAACUUAUAUAAUAUUAAGAUAAAAUUUCUAAUUACAUAACUUAUAUAAUAUUACAUAACUUAUAUAAUAUUAAGAUAAAAUUUCGAAUUACAUAAUUUAUAUAAUAUUAAGAUUACUUAUAUAAUAUUAAGAUAAAAUUGAUAAUUACAUAACUCGUUUAAUAUUAAGAUAACUUAUAUAAUAUUAAGAUAAAAUUUCUAAUUACAUAACUCGUUUAAUAUUAAUUUCUAAUUUGUAAGUACACAUCAAUUUCUCAUUUGAUAACUUAUACAAUAUUAAGAUAAAAUUUCGAAUUACAUAACUUAUAUAAUAUUAAGAUUAAUUAUAUAAUAUUAAGAUCAAAUUUCUAAUUACAUAACUCGUUUAAUAUUAAGAUAACUUAUAUAAUAUUAAGAUAAAAUUUCUAAUUACAUAACUCGUUUAAUAUUAAUUUCUAAUUUGUAAGUACACAUCAAUUUCUCAUUUUAGGUAACUUAUACAAUAUUAAGAUAAAAUUUCGAAUUACAUAACUUAUAUAAUAUUAAGAUUACUUAUAUAAUAUUAAGAUCAAAUUUCUAAUUACAUAACUUAUAUAAUAUUAAGAUUACUUAUAUAAUAUUAAGAUAAAAUUUCUAAUUACAUAACUCGAUUAAUAUUAAGAUAACUUAUAUAAUAUUAAGAUAAAAUUUCUAAUUCCGUAACCUAAUAUAUAAAUUACAUAACUUACAUAACUUACAUAAAUUAAAUAACUUACAUAACUUAAAUAACUUACAUAAUACGUAACCUUCCUAACUUACAUUAUUUAGAUAAUACAUAGCCUACAUAACUUACAAAACUUACAUAAAUUAAAUAACUUCCAUAACUUACAUAACUCACAUAAUACACAACUUACAUAACUUACAUAAAACAUAACUUAUUACAUAACUUACAUAAUACAUAAAAAUAUAUCAUAUCAUAAGUUACAUAACUCAUUUAUAGUUAUAUCUGGCAUUUUAACUUACCCGUGCAAAUUAUUGUCAACGUGACUUCAAUAAUUUAGAAAUGGACCGGUCUUGGAUGAAUUUGUCAAGGGUAAGCAACGGCUAUCGAAAUGGAGUACAGACGUUUCUAAAUUUUGCAUUUCAAUACGCAAGCCAAGAGAACAUGAUUCUUUGCCCCUGUAAGAAUUGUGUCAACAUAAACUGGCAUUAUCGUGAGGUUGUAUAUGAGUAUCUAAUUGUUGAUGGGUUUGUUCGGGGUUAUAAACAAUGGUUAUUUCAUGGAGAAUGCCCGCAUAGUACUUCCUCUUCAAUGAUGGAUGUAACUUAUCCUGAUACUGCUUACCAUCAGUCUGAUAGAGGGGAUGACAUGGAAGGGAUGUUGCGGGAUGCAUUUAAUAUGCACAAUCAUGGUGUCCAGUUUUCCUAGCUGACUUGUGGCAUCUGAUGAUUGUAAUCUCGGUGGAAAUGCUUUUACCGAACCGGGAAGAAGUGUUCCUCAUGAAGAGCCGAAUGGAGAAGCGAAAAAGUUCUACGCGCUACUUAAUGACAUGAAUGAAGAACUGUAUGAGGGAUCAAAAUCCUCAAAAAUGUCUUUUUGUAUUCAUCUUUUUCAGUUAAAAUGUUUGGGAGGGUGGACCGGGAACUCUUUGACAAUGCUGUUAGAGUUUUUGAGAGAAAUGUUUCCGUUUGCAAAAAUCCCUCAGUCGUGCAAAGAUAUGAAGAAAAUGAUUAAAGAUUUAGGCCUUGGGUAUAACAAAAUCCAUAGUUGCCCAAAUGACUGCAUGUUGUAUUGGGGCGAUCGGAGAAACCAACAGUGCUGUCAUGUAUACGGCCACUCCCAUUGGAUAAGUAGAAACACAGAAGAUGGGAACGGCGAUGAAAAUGAUGCACAAUCAAGGAAGAAGCCAGUCAAGAUUUUGCGGUAUUUUUCGUUGAUACUAAGGCUUCAAAGGCUUUUCAUGUCGUCAAAGACAGCAGAGUCAAAGACGUGGCACCAUGAUGGACGAACCGAUGAUGGAUUACUAAAGCAUCCGGCAGAUUCUUUAGCUUGGAAAUCAUUUGACAAUAAAUUUCCAAGCUUUGCAAGCGAUCCUAGGGGUGUGAGGCUUGGGCUAGCAUCUGAUGGAUUUAAUCCUUUCAAGAUCAUGAGCACUGCCUACAGUACUUGGCCAGUAGUGCUUGUUCCUUACAAUCUGCCUCCGCGGAUUUGCAUGAAGCAAUCUUCCCUUAUCUUAUCUAUGAUUAUCCCUAGAGAGAAAGGGCCCGGGAAUGAUAUCGACAUUUAUUUACAGCCACUUAUUGAAGAGUUAAAACAAUUAUGGGCAGGUGUCGAGACAUACGAUGUGCUGAGAAAGGAGAACUUUAAUUUACGUACAGCUUUGAUGUGGACCAUUAAUGACUUUCCCGCUUAUGCCAAUUUAUCCGGUUGGAGUACCAAGGGUCGUUAUGCAUGUCCUUGUUGUGCUACACAAACAUGUUCGCAAUGGUUGUACAAUGGGAAGAAGUUCUCUUACAUGGGGCAUCGUCAGUGGUUACCGAAAAAUCAUAGAUUUAGAUUUCAGAGUUCUGUAUUUGACGGUACUGAAGAGUUCGGAGAAGCUCAUUCGCAGACCAGUGGCUCUGACAUCUUGUUCAUGUUGGAAGAUAUGAAUUUCAUUUAUGGGAAGAUGAACUAACCGCCAAACACAGAAAGAAAUAGAAGAUCAAAUGAUGAAGCUGAGGAUGACUCUAAUGAAGAGGACAAUCCUAAUGAAGGGGACUUGUGGAAAAAAAGAAGUAUUUUUUUGAGUUGCCUUAUUGGGAGCAUCACCUUUUACGACACAAUCUUGAUGUUAUGCACAUUGAGAAAAAUGUCUGCGAGAACAUUGUGGGUAUAAUUUUGAAUGUCGACGGAAAAUCAAAAGACAAUCUUCAGAGUCAACUUGAUUUAGUCCAAAUGGGAAUCCGACCUGAUCUUCAUCCCAAUCCACUUCCGAAUGGGAAAUAUCGCUUGCCGCCUUCUAUUUUGUCAAUGUCGAAGACGAAAAAAGAAGUGUUCUUCACGGUGUUGAAGGAUAUAAAGGUUCCAGAUGCGUAUGCAUCAAAUAUAUCUCGAUGUGUUACUGUUAAAGAUCGAAGAUUAUAUUCGCUAAAAUCACAUGACUAUCACAUCUUGAUGCAAGAUUUACUGCCAGUUGUUCUACGAUGUUGUAUGUCCAAGAAGGUGACAUCUUGUAUAAUUGAACUAUCCAAUAUAAUGAAAGCCAUUUGUGGCAAAGUUUUGGAUGUUCAAGAACUUCAGAAGGUACAGGAUCAAGCCGCUUUAACUUUAUGCAACAUGGAAAAAUUCUUCCCACCUUCCUUCUUCACCAUUAUGGUUCACUUGAUAAUCCAUCUCCCGUAUGAAGCAAUUCUUGGCGGACCCGUUUUCUAUCGAUGGAUGUAUCCCAUAGAAAGGUGUUAAUUAAAAUUUUUAAAAUUUUCCUUCAUUCACCUCUAUGCCUUUAGUUACAACUUUUGAUAAUAUUGUAUAUUGUGUUUAGGUUCCUAUCCAAAUUAAAGUCUUACUGCCAAAACAAGCGAUAUCCAGAAGGAUCGAUUACUGAAGGCUACUUGGCAGAGGAAUGUAUGACCUUCUGCUCAAGAUAUUUGGAAGAUGUUGAAACAAGGUUGAAUAGACCAAAUAGGAAUGCUAGACUCACGGACCAUAACUUCGUCGAUACUUAUAUGUUCCAAAGUUUUGGAGAACCAAUGGGCAAAGUUGAAAUUACAGAAUUAGAUCAUUUAUCGUGGGUACAAACACAUCGAUAUGUUCUGUUUCACCACGAAUGAAUGGAACCUUUAUGGAAGUAAGUUCUACUAAUUUGAUAAAUAUUUAUCAAACUAAAAAUUGUUUAUCUUCUAACAAAGUGAACAUUUUUUUAACAUAGUUAGUACAAAAAAAUAUUGAGAUCUCGUUCUCGCUCCCGAAGAACACAACAUCGAGAUAUCAAUAAGUUGUUUAUAGAAUAUUUUCAUGAAUGGUUAAGCCAAACGGUAUGCAGUUGGAGCUUCCGCUUACAAAUAAUAAUGUUUUCUCAUAACAUUUUUAAUUACUCAGUUUACUUUCCAUUCAACAGGUUUGGAGUGGGAAGAACGUAAACGACGAAGUUAAAUGGCUCUCCCAAGGUCCAAAUCGAGUGGUUAAAAGAUAUAGUGUGUUCCUCAUCAACGGAUUCAGAUUUCAUACAAAAUAUCGCGAAAGGUUAAGGAGAACGCAAAAUUGUGGAAUAGUUGUUAAUUCCUCAAUUACAAGUUAUGCUAUUGCUAGGGACAAUAAUCUUGUCGAGGGAAAUGUGGAAUAUUUCAGACUUCUUACUGACAUAAUUGAGUUGGAUUACUAUGGCAAAUGGAAAGUUGUCUUAUUUCGAGGUGAUUGGGCCGAUGUUAAUACUGCUCGUGGAAUUAAGCAAGAUCAAUUUGGUUUUACAAUGGUGAACUUCGCCCGAUUGAUUCAUACAGGACAACAACUGAUAGAUGAGUCGUAUGUAUUCUUAUCUCAAGUAAAACAAGUUUUUUACUCAAAAGAUCCAACUGAUGAGGGUUGGUACGUUGUACUCCGUAACAUCCCUAGAGACUUGUUUGAUAUGGGUUGUGGAAGUAGAGAUAACAUCGACGACAGAUCAGAAACUUUACCCUUUCCAGAACAAAACUUAAACGAUAAUAUCCCUAGUACUAGUGCACAAUUUCAAUGGGUUCGUCAGGAUACGGAUGAAGAUAUUUACGAAUAAUGAUGUAGUAAGAUUUUUCGAUUAUUUAAUUAUAUGUAAUAUCAUAAUUUAAUUCUUGGUCUUAUUAUAUAUUUCAACUAUUUUAUAUGUGCUGUUAUUGUUGUAAUUAGUUAUUAAGUUUUCUACUAUUUUAUGUGUAUUGCAGAUAAAAUUCCUAGAAGAAAAAUUCUAAGGGGAAGCAUUGUUCAAAAUGAUCCAAACUCGACAGAAACAAAUAAUACUGAACAACAGACAGUAAUUGGAUCAUCGAAUGUUCCGAUUACAGCUGAGGAUCCUAUAGAAGUUCAAAGUAAUUUUACAUUUAAUUUACAUGCGUGUUGACUUAUAAUUGAUUUAUUUUUCAAAUUCUUAUAUUAUAAUAUACCAUUUGUAGCUGAAAAUGGUGGGACGCGCAGAGGUCGAGGACGUACGCUACUUAGAGAGUUAUACGAGUUAGAUCCAGUCAAGCGUGUCAAAGUUGGACGAAACAGUUUUGGUCAGCCUGUUGGAUCAAAAGCUCGAAUUUUAGCAGGAUACAUGGGCAUUUUAGCACGAAAUGCGAAUAUGUUGCCUAUCAACUACGAGUCAUGGCAUCAAAUGCCCGAUAGCAACAAAAACCAAGCCCUCGAUAAUAUUAAGGUAACUUAAGGUUAAUGUCAUCUGUAAUGCUUGGGAAAUAGUAUUAACUUGUGUUUUUUGUAGGCGAGGUUUGCUUUGGAGGUCUCGGAUGCUUAUGUAAAGAAGGCAUUAGGAAAAAGAUGGAGAGACCAUAAAAGUACUUUAAAGAAAGAUUAUUAUAAUACAAAAACAACCCUCAAAGAGAAAUUGCAAAAUGUCCCGCCGGGUAUGCUGAGGUACCAAUAGGAAGAUGCGGUUAGAUUUUGGCAUUCGAAGAAAGGCGAGGUAUGAUGUAAUUCCAAACUAUUGUAAUUAUUUUGGUUUAUAGUAUUUACUAUUUAAGUACUAAAAAUUUCAUAACGUAGGAUCGUGAACGAGUUGGAAAAAGCAGCAGGCAGAAACAAAAAUUCACUCACACAGCCAGGUCGAGAAGUUUUGCAUGUGUAGCUGAGGCGAAGGUAUUUUUAAUUUUUUAAUAUUGUCAAAUAUGUAUAACUUUCCGUUAAAUAAUAUUUUUACUACUAUAUUGUAGGAACUAUCGUCCGGUCAAAAAGUUGGACGCCUUCAACUUUUUGAAAUUACACAUAGGAAGAAAGAUGGAUCUGCUAUGAAUCCUGAAGCUAGUGAAAUUAUGGUACGUUUACUUAAUACGAUUUGUCUUAGUUUAGUUAUUUAUAGUGUUUGUUUUCUAAUGGUUUAAUUCAUUGCUUGUAAUGCGACUAUUGUUAUGUUGCGUUUGUUUUUUUAAUAUAUAUUGCGUUCCUAACUAUGUGAUUUAUUUAUUAGGAAAAACUAAAGGAUAAAAAGACGGAGUACGAAGCGAUUGCUUCUAGUGAUAGUUCUGUUCAUCUUGAAGACAUUGAGAACCAGAUUAUUACUGAAGUUUUGGGUCCUGAAAGGUAUGGUCGGGUUCGAUUUCAAGGAUCUUUUGUUAGCCCAACCCAAUAUUUUGGAUCCAGCUCGCAGCAAUACAUGGCUUCGGGGAGUCAGGCUCAAGCUGAAGUUCAGAGGUUAAAAGACUAGAUGGCUCAGAUGCAAGCGACCACAGUUGAGGUUCAAAGGAAAUAUGAAGAACUCUAGCUACAACUCAGAGGCAGCAGCGAUGGAAGCAGCGGCUGCAGUAAGGGAAGCAGAGGCUGCAGCGAGAGAAGCAGAGCAGAGCAGAAAGUACGAUGAACUCCAGCAGCAGCUUCAGACUAUGAUGAAGAUGUUUCAGUCGCAACUUCCACCGUUAUAGCGUAUUGCAUAAAUAUUUUUAUCAUUUUAACUUUUUAACAUUUUUGCAAAAAUAAUAUGAAUUCACUUUUAUUUAUUGAUAUUAAUAUUAUUUUAUUCAUUUAAUUUGAAAUAUUAUAUAAAUUUAUUGCUUUUGGCUGGUUUAGAUCUAGUUGCUUUUGAGUUGUUACUACAGGAGGGCUGAAAAAAUAAAAAAUUUUAUAUAAAAAAAUAUUCCAAAAAUAGUGGCGUUUUUUAUAAAAGCGCCGCUAAAGAAACAUUUCUUUUAGCGGCAUUUGUGAAUAAAGCGCUGCUAAAGAACCUGAUCUUUAGUGUCAUUUUUUUGAAGCGCUGCUAAAGAACAUGACUUUUAGCGGCGUUUUUUUCCAAGCGCCGUUAAAGAACAUGAUCUUUAGCGGCGUUUAUUUUUGUAAACGCUGCAAACGUUAGCGACGUUUUCGUUAGCGGCCUUUAAGCGCCGCAAAGAUCUUUAGUGGCGUUAAAAAGCGCCGCUAAAGGCCUAAAAAAAUGCCGCUAAAAACUUGUUUUGGUGUAGUGCAUAAAUUCAACAGUUGGAUUAUUAAAAUAUUAAUCGUAUAGGGGGAUACAAAAGGAUGUAAAACAACUUUCAUUUUAUACCGGUGUAAGUGGAUUACUCCCCAUAUUUUUUUAUACACUUAUUUAUAUAUAUAUCGAAAUUUUACAUACUUUAUUAAAUAUGAUUUUGUAUCUUGAAUCUUCAACUAAUUAGUAUAUUUUAGCCAUGAUAUACCUCAACCAAUAAUAACUAAAUUAUGAUAUACUAACGAUGUGAGUGAAAAAAAAACUUAUGUAACAAUUUAUUUUAAAAAAUAAUGAUAUAUAUAAAAAAAGAGUUAUUGAAAUAGUAAAGUUAUGUAAUAGCUACUAAGGUGUUUUUCUUCAAAUUUUAUUAUACUCAUUUUUCUAGAUUUUACAUAAAAUAUAAACUGAUAAAAAUACUCUCAUAAUAAUAUUUGUUCUUUUAUAAAAGUAAUAGAUUUUCAUAAUUUUUCAACUGAGUUGAGACUGAGUUGAUGGGUGACACCAAUUCAAACAACCUUUUAAAAAAUAAUAUUAAUUUAAGGUACACCCAUAAUGGGAUUGGAAAAAAUUAUGUAAUAGACAUAUUUAUUAAAAGCUUAUAUAAGAAUUAAAUGAAUUACUUGUUGAAAUGAUAAAUCUUAAAUCUUAAAAUUUUUCGUUGAAGGUUCAAAUCUCACAAUCUUAAAUUUAUUAUCGAUUUUAUAUAAAAAUUUAAAAAGAUGUGAAUACCAUUAAAAUAAUGUAAUUUAAUUUGUUAAGUAAAAAAGAUAAUAUAGAUAUAAGAAAAAAACUUCCUUAAAAAAACAUUAAAUCAUACCUUCGCAUAACGUCGAGUAAAUGCGAGUAUCCCUAUCACACACACAUAGAUGAUUAGAGCUCAACCUCGACCAGCAAUAUUCACCAUCGGAUGUACAAGAAGUAUCCGAACUAUCAUUCAAAUAGCAUUCUCCAUAUAUUGGUGUGCCCCAAUGCAAUUGUGUUGGGACAUGCGUCCUACUACUUAUAUCAGAAUCUUCUAAAUCAUAGUCAUCAGAAAUCAAGGAAGCAAAUCCGCAUGAUUUUUUCUUCCUAUAAUCACUAGAAUCAACCCUAUUAGUCAUGUUUAUGUAGAAUGAACUGAGAUCCUGAGGGAAAAAAGCAAGACAACUAGCAACAUAAGAAGUCUUGUUAUUAAUCCUACAACUUGGUUGCAAACAUCCGCCCAAAAGUUUAUCUGUUUCAUUGCCAAAAAUAGUAACCAAAUUAUCGCAACCUGAAUAAUAAAAACUGUUGUCAGAAGUUGAGUAGGAAAAGCGGGUGCCAGUUAGGUUGAGACUCAUCCCAUUAUGAUGGUUCUUUCGAGUUUCGACAGUUGAAGUAAGUUAUUGGAUGGUUGACCUUGAUGGUGCCUUUCAAAAAAUCAAAGUUCAAUAUUUGUAGAUUCGUGUCAUUUAUGUUUAAGAAAGGAACUUCUCCCCCGUUGGCGGUUUUGUUGCAAAUUACUUCAAACCAAUCGUCAAUUUCAUAAUCUUGGUCCUUCAUUCUAAAGGGGUAGUGAAAAGUAACAUUUCCGCAGGGCCAUACCUUGUAGGUGUUGACGUUGAUAGGUCCUAGUCUUGGUCUUCCGCAUACUGCGGAUUUAGCAAAAAAGGAGUCAAUCGUAAAAUCUACUAAAUAUAUGUACAUCCAAUUAGGGGUGAGUAAAGCUCGAUUAGAUUUGAAAAUAUCAAAAAAAAUUCAAAUUUCGAGUUUAUCGAAUUGAGUUAUUCAAAUUAUUAGAGUCAACUCAAAUAAGUAAUUCGAGUUUCAAGUUCAAAUCGAGUUGAAUUUUACAAUUAGAAUAAUUUGAAUAACAGAUUGGUGUAUAUAUCCUUUACGUCACUGUUAAGUUUGAAAAUGAGCAAAUUGGUCUCUCUCAACAAAAAAUUAAAAAAAUUCAAAAUAAUUUUAUAAAAUUCAAAAUAAUUUUUAAAUUUCAAAAUAUUUAUAAAAAUUCCAAAAUUUAUAUUUUUUAAAAAAUUAUAAGAAAUUCUUAAAAUAUAUAAAGAAAGUUAAAAAAUUAAAAAUUUUCUAGAAUAAUAAUUUUGGGACCUAAAUUUGUUAAUUAAUGAUUCAAGUUUAUCAUACUAAAGUAUUUUUUAUUUUGCUUUGAAAAAGUUUUCAAAUAUAUAUGGUUUCAAAUUUAUAUGCUUUAAUAAAGAAUUAGUUAUACUGUAACAAUAUUUUAAUUUGACAUGUUUAAUUUUUUAAUUUAAAUCAAAAAAAUUUACUCUAUUCGACUAGACUCAAAUUUCAUUUCACUCGACUCAAUUUGAAAAAAUUUUGAAUUGAGUUAAGAUAAUAAAAUAGUACUUGCCAACUCGUUUAACUCGAAAUUUUAUAUAUAUAUAUAUAUAAAACCGAUAUGAAUCCAGCGGUGUCCUUGAUCUCCCUAAUUAAGUGAACAAAUUAGUAAACUACACCUUUCUGCCUCUUUCAAAAGAAUUAAUAAUUUAACAUAAACACUUUAACCCUUGAAUAAAUGUAAAAAUUACAUUUUUAACUCCUCUAAAAAAUAAUAAUUUAAUUUAAUUUAAUCUCAUUUAAGUAUUAAUUCAAGUUUUUGGAAUACAAAACUUUUAGGUAUAAAUUUUUUAAAGCCAAAAAUAUUAAUAUACAAAACGAAUGAUCCUAAAAACUUUUUUUAGAACUUAUAUGAUUCUAAAUACUGAUUUUAAACCAUUAGCAAAAUCUAUAUAUUAACUGAAUUAAAAGAAGAAGAAUAAAAGCCAAGCAAUUGAAGUGACAGCGCGACUGACCUCCGUCACCGCAAUAGGUGGAAUUCAAGUUGAGCACGGCGGGAACAUGCGUAGUUCCAUUAUUGAUGCCAGUGGGUAAUGGGUAAGCACUACCGAAAGAGUACUUGCUAAAGAUGAAAGCAGAUGCGCAUCUUUUGCUGUCAGGAUACAUGGCUGUCAUGUUGACAGUAUAGGAAGUGAAAUUUGCAGUAAUUAGAGUAACGCAGCCAGAUUCAGAAGCACCAUCGUCAGACCUUAGUUGAAUGCAGCCGCCAAGUGAAUCACCUUCGUUACUUAAAAUAGUAGCCAAAUUUCCAAAACCUACUGACCCGAAAUAAUUCAUGUCACUUGAGAAGAAAAAUGGAGUGCCUGAGAGAUCCACACUCACACUAGCCUUAUUACAGUUAAUAUAAGUAACUGGAUUAUUGAUGAGAAUGGCGUCUGAAUAUAUGGAAUCAAGUAUCUCCAGAUCGAUGCCAUUUACGUUUUUGAAUGGCUUUACCCCAUUGAGGGUUGGGUUGCAAGUCACUCUAAACCAAGGUUUAGUAUAGCAGGUGCUAUGGAUUCCAAAAGGGGAUGGAAUUGUAAUAUUUCCACAUGCUUCUUUACCACAGGCAGUUUCUUGAGAUUCUGAUGCUUGUAAUGUUGGGCACAACAGGAAGAGGAGUAGGAGGAUGAAGUAAAGCGGUAAGUGAAAACCCAUUUGCGUUGUUAUUUGGUUUGAGGGAAAUCAAUGAAGAUUUAAAGAAACAAAGGAUGUUUGAGUGAGAAGCAAAUGAAAAGUAUUUGGUCACACUUUCCUUGAAGUUCCAGUAUAAGUGCAUUUGAUUUGAGAAUAAUUCAUUAAUUUGCAAAGACUGUUGGAUACAAUUUUCCAGCUACACGUAAGAG